CCUAAACAAAUAAAUAAAAAAUAAUAAAUCAAAUAAAAUUAGGUCCAUGUCUAGAUUAUAACAAAAUUUUCCCCAAACCCAAUACUAAAUCUAAAACCCAAAUGGCCCAAAUAUUAACCCAAACUUAGCCCAUAAAAAAUACAAAUCACAGAAACCCUAGGCAGUUAGUAGCAAACCAGCGCUGCAACAACCUCACCAACGUCGCAACACGUCACCCUGCACCACGCACAUUCUUCCUGCAACAAACCACGAACCACGAACAACAAAUAAUAGCAGAAAUUACGACAAAAAUGAAAAAGAGUUUUCGAGAGUUUCUUUUUUCCAUUAUUUCGGCUAUAAAAGCCAAAUUAAAUUUGUAAAAGGGGACGGAAAAGAAAAAAACACUGAUUUGAUAUAAAAAAAGAGAAUAAAAAUAGUACUUUAUUAAAGGUGAUUUUCUUUAACGAUCUUCCCUUCUGUUCUUGAUUCGUUUUUUGUUUAUUCAUUGUAUAUAAAAAAAGAACAGUGAAAAGAGGAGAGUUUUACCUGGUGAUCGAACCUUAGUUCUCUCCAUCGCAAUCAGAGGUGGGUGAGGAUCGAAGGCCUUGGAAUAGCUUGGCUGCGACGGCUAGGGUUGGGUUAAGGGAAAACCCUAGCAGAGAGUUUUAGAUUGUUUUAUUUUUUAUUUUUUUUGUUGCAG
rnacentral:lncRNA from 1 species